GAAACUAACCAGGAUUUCCCUAGUAACGGCGAGCGAACCGGAAAGAGCCCAGCUUGAAAAUCGUGGUGCCUCGCACCUCGAGUUGUAGUCUGGAGAAGGUCCCUCUGCGACGCGCCGGACCCAAGUUCCCUGGAAAGGGACGUCAUCGAGGGUGACAACCCCGUCCGCGCCCGGAACGCGUCGCUCCACGAGGACCUGUCUGCGAGUCGGGCUGUUUGGGAAUGCAGCCCUAAGUGGGAGGUAAAUUCCUUCCAAGGCUAAAUAUGGGCAAGAGACCGAUAGCGAACAAGUACCGCGAGGGAAAGAUGAAAAGGACUUUGAAAAGAGAGUUAAAAAGUGCUUGAAAUUGCUGGGAGGGAAGCGAAUGGAAGCUGCGGGUGCGCCCCGGUUGGAUGUGGAACGGCUUCGGCUGGUCCGCCGCUCAACGCGGGGCGCUGGUCAGCGUGGGCCACGGCGCCGGGACAAGAGCGGGGAUUCGCUUCCCGCCUAUGCCGGUGCGGUGGCCGAGGAACGAAGCGCGCGCCGCAAGGCGUGGGUUCGCCCAACUGCGCGCUCGGGACGCUGGCGUAUUGAGCUCUUCAUCCGACCCGUCUUGAAACACGGACCAAGGAGUCUAACAUGUAUGCGAGCCGGUGGGCGGCAAACCCAUUGAGGCGUAAGUAAACUGACAGGUGGGACCCCGACCGUGAGGGAGGGAGCACC
rnacentral:rRNA from 1 species